rnacentral:rRNA from 1 species
GGUCCCCGCCUCCGCUCCCGCGCCUGGCCUCGUCGCGCCUCUCACCCCGGCGCCCCGUGUGUUCUUCGCGGCACGUAGCGCCGGCGCCCCCCCUCUGCCCCUACGCGACCACCCCCUUCGCCCGCGUCACUGAGCCGCGUUCCCUUCUUCCCCGGCGCUCGCCCCCCUCUCGCUCAGCUCGGCCCCCCGCCGCCGUACUCCCCCGCUUCCGCCGUCCUUCUCCGUCUCUCAAUCUCACCCCCCCCCGUCUUCAUCCUUCCUGUGUCCCUCCCCUCGCCCUCCCUCUCCCCUGCCCCGGCUCCCUCUCACCCCCUCCGUCCCGCUCCCGGCCGCCUUCGCCCGCCUCGUCCUCUCGUUUUCCCCCCCCCCCUCCCCCCGCCGCCGUCUCUCCCCCCCCCCCCCCGUUCUCCCCCCCUUCCCCCUCGCCGUCCUCCCCCCUGCCUUUUCGCCCUGCCCUCCUCCCCCUUCUUUCCUCCUCUCCAUCCUCCUGGUUGCUCUCCCCCGGCUCUCCGCCGUAAGUCUGUGGGUGAUUGUUACGGCGGUCCAUUCUCUCUGGCCCCUCCCUCUACGGUGUGCGUUUGUGUUAUUUAGGUGAGUUCCAGCCGGUUGCGAAGCAGCGCUGCCGUGGCUAUUCUUACAAACUUAUUUUAGUUCUGAACGGAGCGGUUAGCUAGACUUACAUGAAGGUGGAAGCGCUAGUAAUUGCGGAUCAGCACGCCGCGGUGAAUAGGUUCCUGGGCCUUGUACACACGCCCGUCACGCCAUGAAAGUNGUGCUUACCAGAAGUUCAUUGCGUUAACUGUAAGGAGACAGAUGUCCAAGGUAGGAGUCGAUGAUUGGGGUGAAGUCGUAACAAGGUAAAUGCGCGCGAGCAUCAGCGCCCCCGAGCACAGGANCGAUCGCCCGCAUCGCCCUCUAUAGAGUAGUCUCAU